rnacentral:ncRNA from 1 species
AUCCGUUCUCAGGGCGGGGUGCAAUUCCCCACCGGCGGUAUGGGGGUUUCCCCCGAGCCCGCGAGCGCCUUCCGGUCCCCCGGAAGGGUCAGCAGAUCCGGUGAGAGGCCGGAGCCGACGGUAUAGUCCGGAUGGAAGAGAGCAAGC